rnacentral:rRNA from 1 species
AACGAACGCUGGCGGCAUGCCUAACACAUGCAAGUCGAACGAGACCUUCGGGUCUAGUGGCGCACGGGUGCGUAACGCGUGGGAACCUGCCCUUAGGUUCGGAAUAACUCCCCGAAAGGGGUGCUAAUACCGGAUAAUGUCUUCGGACCAAAGAUUUAUCGCCUUUGGAUGGGCCCGCGUUGGAUUAGCUAGUUGGUAGGGUAAAAGCCUACCAAGGCGACGAUCCAUAGCUGGUCUGAGAGGAUGAUCAGCCACACUGGGACUGAGACACGGCCCAGACUCCGACGGGAGGGAGCAGUGGGGAAUAUUGGACAAGGGGCGAAAGCCUGAUCCAGCAAUGCCGCGUGAGUGAUGAAGGCCUUAGGGUUGUAAAGCUCUUUUACCCGGGAUGAUAAUGACAGUACCGGGAGAAUAAGCACCGGCUAACUCCGUG